rnacentral:tRNA from 1 species
GGAGGAUUAGCUCAGUUGGGAGAGCGUCUGCCUUACAAGCAGAGGGUCACAGGUUCGAGCCCUGCAUCCUCCA